rnacentral:rRNA from 1 species
UGCGUAGGCGGGUCUUUAAGUCAGGGGUGAAAUCCUGGAGCUCAACUCCAGAACCGCCUUUGAUACUGAAGAUCUUGAGUUCGGGAGAGGUGAGUGGAACUGCGAGUGUAGAGGUGAAAUUCGUAGAUAUUCGCAAGAACACCAGUGGCGAAGGCGGCUCACUGGCCCGAUACUGACGCUGAGGCACGAAAGCUGGGGAGCAAACA